UGGGGAAUAUUGGACAAUGGGCGAAAGCCUGAUCCAGCCAUGCCGCGUGUGUGAAGAAGGCCUUUUGGUUGUAAAGCACUUUAAGUGGGGAGGAAAAGCUUAUGGUUAAUACCCAUAAGCCCUGACGUUACCCACAGAAUAAGCACCGGCUAACUCUGUGCCAGCAGCCGCGGUAAUACAGAGGGUGCAAGCGUUAAUCGGAAUUACUGGGCGUAAAGCGCGCGUAGGUGGUUAUUUAAGUCAGAUGUGAAAGCCCCGGGCUUUACCUGGGAACUGCAUCUGAUACUGGAUAACUAGAGUAGGUGAGAGGGGAGUAGAAUUCCAGGUGUAGCGGUGAAAUGCGUAGAGAUCUGGAGGAAUACCGAUGGCGAAGGCAGCUCCCUGGCAUCAUACUGACACUGAGGUGCGAAAGCGUGGGUAGCAAACAGGAUUAGAUACCCUGGUAGUCCACGCCGUAAACGAUGUCUACCAGUCGUUGGGUCUUUUAAAGACUUAGUGACGCAGUUAACGCAAUAAGUAGACCGCCUGGGGAGUACGGCCGCAAGGUU
rnacentral:rRNA from 1 species